rnacentral:rRNA from 1 species
UACAUAGGUAGCGAGCGUUAUCCGGAAUGACUGGGCGUAAAGGGAGCGUAGGUGGAUGCUUAAGUCUUUUGUGAAAGCCCUUGGCUCAACUGAGGGAUUGCAGAAGAUACUGGGCAACUAGAGUGUGAGAGAGGCAAGUGGAAUUCCUAGUGUAGCGGUAGAAUGCGUAGAGAUUAGGAGGAACACCAGAGGCGAAGGCGGCUUGCUGGCUCAUAACUGACACUGAGGCUCGAAAGCGUGGGGAGCGAAC